rnacentral:rRNA from 1 species
UACAGAGGGGGCAAGCGUUAUUCGGAAUUAUUGGGCGUAAAGGGCGCGUAGGCGGCUUGGCAAGUGGAAGGUGAAAUCCCUCGGCUCAACCGAGGAACUGCCUUCUAAACUGCUUUGAUUGAGUCCGGGAGAGGUCAGUGGAAUUCCCAGUGUAGCGGUGAAAUACGUAGAUAUUGGGAGGAACACCAAUGGCGAAGGCAGCUCUCUGGGACGGUACUGACGCUGAGACGCGAAAGCGUGGGGAGCGAACAGG